AUGAACGCUGGCGGCGUGCUUAACACAUGCAAGUCGAACGAGAAUCAGUGGAACAAGGAUUCGUCUGAGGGAAGCUGAGGAAAGUGGCGGACGGGUGAGUAACGCGUGAGCAAUCUGCCUUGGAGUGGGGAAUAACGGCUGGAAACAGCCGCUAAUACCGCAUGAUGCAUCUGAGUCGCAUGGUUUGGAUGCCAAAGAUUUAUCGCUCUGAGAUGAGCUCGCGUCUGAUUAGCUAGUUGGCGGGGUAAUGGCCCACCAAGGCGACGAUCAGUAGCCGGACUGAGAGGUUGGCCGGCCACAUUGGGACUGAGACACGGCCCAGACUCCUACGGGAGGCAGCAGUGGGGAAUUUUCCGCAAUGGGCGAAAGCCUGACGGAGCAAUGCCGCGUGGAGGUGGAAGGCCUACGGGUCGUCAACUUCUUUUCUCGGAGAAGAAACAAUGACGGUAUCUGAGGAAUAAGCAUCGGCUAACUCUGUG
rnacentral:rRNA from 1 species